rnacentral:rRNA from 1 species
CUAGUAACGGCGAGUGAAGAGGGAAGAGCUCAAAUUUGAAAGCUGGUACCUUCGGUAUCCGCGUUGUAACCUCGAGACACGUUUUCCUUGCGGCGCUAUGGACAAGUUCCUUGGAACAGGACAUCGUAGAGGGUGAAAAUCCCGUACUUGCCAYGGAUGUACCGUGCUUUGCGAUACGUGCUCUWAGAGUCGAGUUGUUUGGGAUUGCAGCUCAAAAUGGGUGGUAGACUCCAUCUAAAGCUAAAUAUCGGGGAGAGACCGAUAGCGAACAAGUACCGUGAGGGAAAGAUGAAAAGCACUUUGGAAAGAGAGUUAAAAGUACGUGAAAUUGUCGAAAGGGAAGCGCUUGAAGUCAGCCAUGCCGCUCAGGACUCAGCCUGGCUUUUGCUUGGUGUAUUUCCUGGGUAGCAAGUCAGCAUUGGUUUGGAUCGUCGGAGAAGCAUAGUUGGAAUGUGGCGCCCUCGGGCGUGUUAUAGCCUUCUAUUGGAUACGACGAUGUGGACCAAGGAACGCAGCGCGCCUUAUGGCGGGUCUUCGGACACCUUCGCGCUUAG